rnacentral:rRNA from 1 species
GACAGCAGUCGCCACGGGAAUACGGAGGGUGCAAGCGUUAUCCGGAUUUACUGGGUUUAAAGGGUGCGUAGGCGGACUUGUAAGUCCGAGGUGAAAUCUCUGAGCUUAACUCGGAAACUGCCUUGGAUACUAUAGGUCUUGAAUCUCGUUGAGGUUUGCGGAAUAUGUCAUGUAGCGGUGAAAUGCUUAGAUAUGACAUAGAACACCUAUUGCGAAGGCAGCAGGCUAAACGAGUAUUGACGCUGAUGCACGAAAGCGUGGGGAUCAAACAGGAUUAGAUACCCCCGUAGUCCCUGUCUCUUAUAU